ACCCUAAAGAUAUAUAUUUUGCUUCCAUCUGGUAACCACUCGGCAAAACGAAUGAGCCAAUCACGUUCGUGGGCAAAUUGACUCUCUGCUAUGGCCGGCCACUGGAUACAGUAGUGUGCCUGAUGUGCGCUUUCUGCAUCUAAUACCCAGUUCGAGGAAUCACGUGACAUAAAGGGGUUCUCACAUGGUUCAUCACGGAUCACAACCGAUGUAAACAAACAAGGUCAAGACUGAUUUUACCCAACUGAGGCCACAGGCAACUACUUAACCCUACAGCACAUAGACAAGAGGCCUGUUUACAUCUCCCAGUCAAUAGCCAACUUACUGAUAAGCAGUCCUUAUCUGUAUAGGCAUUUUAGGGGUAUUGGAAAAGUGCAAAUUUACACAGCAGUAUGACCUCUAUAUCAAUAUUACUCCCAAUAAUUGUGGCUAAAUCAUUUUUAUGUGAAUAUAUUUUUACAGAUAAUUAAAUUAUCCAAUAAAUGGUGUCAAUGAUGAAAUAUUAAAUUAUUUUAUAUCAUUUGUCAAGGCAUUUCCAUGAUGGACUUGUACCAUUACUUUGAAAUGACAAAAUUUCAUUCAAUCAAUUUUAUUCAAAGGAUAAAAAAUGCUUGCAUCGAUCUACAUUUUAUUACCCCUUUCAUAAAAAAGACCCAUCCAGAUUAAAAAGCAGACCAUUGAUGUUCUUGUGUAAAAUACACAGAAAUACAGCAGGAAU